GAGCGUUUAGCGCAGUGGUAGCGCGUAUGCUUUGCAUUGUCAUGUGACUCUACAUGAUUAUGUAAUUAAAGGUCCAGGGCUCAAUCCUCUGAACGUCG